rnacentral:rRNA from 1 species
UAGGGAAUCUUCCGCAAUGGACGAAAGUCUGACGGAGCAACGCCGCGUGAGUGAUGAAGGUUUUCGGAUCGUAAAACUCUGUUGUUAGGGAAGAACAAGUUGGGUAGUAACUGACCCAACCUUGACGGUACCUAACCAGAAAGCCACGGCUAACUACGUGCCAGCAGCCGCGGUAAUACGUAGGUGGCAAGCGUUGUCCGGAAUUAUUGGGCGUAAAGCGCUCGCAGGCGGUCUUUUAAGUCUGAUGUGAAAGCCCACGGCUUAACCGUGGAGGGUCGUUGGAAACUGGAGGACUUGAGUACAGAAGAGGAGGGUGGAAUUCCACGUGUAGCGGUGAAAUGCGUAGAGAUGUGGAGGAACACCAGUGGCGAAGGCGACUCUCUGGUCUGUAACUGACGCUGAGGAGCGAAAGCGUGGGUAGCGAACAGG